UGGGGAAUAUUGCACAAUGGGCGGAAGCCUGAUGCAGCGACGCCGCGUGGGGGAUGAAGGCCUUCGGGUUGUAAACUCCUUUCGACAGGGACGAAGCUUUUGUGACGGUACCUGUAUAAGAAGCACCGGCUAACUACGUGCCAGCAGCCGCGGUAAUACGUAGGGUGCGAGCGUUGUCCGGAAUUACUGGGCGUAAAGAGCUCGUAGGUGGUUUGUCGCGUCGUCUGCGAAAUUCCGGGGCUUAACUCCGGGCGUGCAGGCGAUACGGGCUGACUUGAGUGCUGUAGGGGAGACUGGAAUUCCUGGUGUAGCGGUGAAAUGCGCAGAUAUCAGGAGGAACACCGAUGGCGAAGGCAGGUCUCUGGGCAGUAACUGACGCUGAGGAGCGAAAGCAUGGGUAGCGAACAGG
rnacentral:rRNA from 1 species